AUACGUAGGUGGCAAGCGUUGUCCGGAUUUACUGGGCGUAAAGGGUGCGUAGGCGGAUGUUUAAGUGAGAUGUGAAAUCCCCGGGCUUAACCUGGGGGCUGCAUUUCAAACUGGAUAUCUAGAGUGCAGGAGAGGAGAAUGGAAUUCCUAGUGUAGCGGUGAAAUGCGUAGAGAUUAGGAAGAACACCAGUGGCGAAGGCGAUUCUCUGGACUGUAACUGACGCUGAGGCACGAAAGCGUGGGUAGCAAACAGGAUUAGAUACCCUGGUAGUCCACGCCGUAAACGAUGAGUACUAGGUGUAGGAGGUAUCGACCCCUUCUGUGCCGCAGUUAACACAAUAAGUAAUCCACCUGGGGAGUACGGCCGCAAGGUUGAA
rnacentral:rRNA from 1 species